GCUGGUACGGUUCCGUUCUGUUCCGCCUUGGCGCCCUUGGCCGCGGGGGCAAUGUUUUUGUUUUCGUUCUACGUUCAGGUGUUGGGUGGCGACGUAUUAACCGUCGAUAACCAGCUGAAGCAGCUCAAGUUCUCGAGUGGAACGAGGUUGACCGUGCGCAGUGGCAGCCGUUGACAACAAAAACAAUGUAUGCACUAAGCUUCGCCGGAUGAGUGCCGGCGUCGAUCGCGAACCGCCAGAGCCGCCAAAUACCUCUCGUACAUCUCCAAGAACACCAAGAACAGGAGGUAUUCAUAAAGGUCUGAAUUACGCGAGGAUCGUCUCGAAGCAUGGUAGCCUCAACAGACGCUUGCCGCCACACGCGAGGAGAAAGCAGGAGGCCCGAAGUUUGAAUGUGAAGAGGAGGUGCGAAGAGCUGGCCCUCACUUUUUCAAGGCAGCCGCAGAACACUACGAGCCCCGAAUCACUGCCGCGGCUGACUCACGCGGAUGCUGUGCUGCACCCUGCACUGCACAUGGUUCGAAGCACACUUCAGGGGACCAGUGCAUGCCCCUGCUGCAUCGUCACGGUAUGUUUUGUACUGCUUUUCCUAGCGGUGCACUGAGCAGUCCAAUCUUGAAGGGAGCACGCGAGUGCGUAGCCAGUGCUCCAUGCAGCGAGGACCGCAAGCACCCGCGGAAGCUUGGAGCACACGCAGUGACGCCAGCAGCCGUGCACGCUGGCGUCGUCUGCUACUGUACCGUCCUUUCGUUCGGUGCGCAGAAAAAAAAAGGAGUGACCGCUCUGUUAAAAGUCUGAUGGUGAAGGCAUCCUUUACAGAAGCACUGUAUGGCUCUCUGCACGCUAGAAUGGGGGCUGUCAUUGAUGCUCGCAGAGGCGUCGCCCACAACUAAGCAGACGACCAAAGUCCUGAGCAGGUCCCGGGGAUCAUGGCAUCGAUGAGCUCGCUUUCGCCUUGUCCAAGGUAGCAGCGGAACACUACGGGCAGGCCCGGAGUCACCGCACCGGCUGGCUCACGGGCGUCGUCCUGUACUCUGCACGGCACUGCGUGUGGCUUAACCGGCCAAGCAGAGGGUCACUGCAUGACCUUUAUGAGGCGUCGCUAGCCAUUGUAAGUAUAUUUUGGACGCUCGUGUCAGGGGAUGUACUUUUGUGUUCUACAACAGAACAUGUUUGGUGGCGGUUCAGUCUUGCCAAUUCAGCCAUUUUGAAACAUAAUUUUGUGGCGACUUGGCUUAGGUUUUCUGGCUCGGCCGUCUUUUGCACCAGUGUCUAGGCUCGGCGUAAGCCUCUUUGUUCUUUAUUGUCAAGGCUAGUGUAAUUUCUGCUACGCUGUCGAAGCAACUUCUUCAUGCGAACAAGAUGCAAGACGAAGCUACAUGCUCGUGCACAGUGCAUGACCACAUGUGAAAACUAAUAGAGAGUUUGUUUCGCUGCAAUCGUGCCCAUGCGCACCCACUUGCAACAUGAAGUGAGUUUGUUUCGCCGCCGGCACUCCACACGUGCAUGCGCUCGCUGCGCCCUGAGAAUUAAGUGUGUACCUGAAUGCACUCCCGUCAUGCAUCACUUAGGCAGGGAACAAGAGCAGAUGACUGGUUUGUCCACCAUGCGGGACAGUAGAACUCCAGAAAAAGUGAACUUUCUGCUAAAAAAAUGACGUCCCACGAGCAACAAAAUCGGACACGAGCUUGAAUUGUGUGUCUGCUAUUCUAUAAAGCAAGCAAUCCACAACCUGUGCUUAACUUGCAAGUUUUCAGUCAUUUUGUUGCUGUACAGACGUCCAUAUACACCGGUGGAUAAAGAAAGGUUCAGAACGAACAUCAGCCACCGCGAGAUAUCUCUCACCAUCCGUGCGGGGCUAAAGAGUUGGGACGUUAGUUGACAAAGCUUGCCCGGCAGAAACCUGCGACGCGUCCAGUCGGGAGCCGAGAAAGCUAAACUGUUUUUACCCGAGGCUUGGAUAAAAUCACAGUGUUUAAAAAGGAGCCAUGGAAUUUAUUUUGGGUGGGAUAAAUUAAUUUAGAUUCGUAUUUUGCUAAUACAGUUGAACCUUUCAAGAACGAAAUUCUCGCGGCAACGAAGAAAUCUGGCGGCCCCAGCGAACGUCCAUAGGGUUCAAUGCAUUUGCACCCUCUCAACAGCAAAGAGUUUUAAAAAGCAGUCCCGCAUUAACGAAAGUUUGAGGUAGUGAUCUGCCAUAGAGUUAUUCAAUGUGUCUACCAAGUUGGCAUUUUCAAAUUCCCUGAGUUUUUCAGGUUUCCUCUGAGUACUUUUGUGAAAUUCCCUGAGUGACACAGAACUUUGUUUUAGGUCAAGAUGGGCGGACACCAUGUCGCAACAUGCUGUCACUCUCUAAAAAGCAUGUCAUAAAAUAAAAUAACAACACAAUACAGUUUUGAUGAUAGCGAGUAACUUUUAUUAGAUUUAAAAAGAAAACAGAACGAAGUGGUUAGUAAAAUUGAUAGCGAAUAAAGUAUAAAAAAAGGUAAACUGAGGUUUACGUGACCCCCCCCAGGUCUGGUCAUGUGAC